AAGUCGUAACAAGGUAACCGUAGGUGAACCUGCGGUUGGAUCAUUAAAAAAUGUUUGGUCUUGUGCCAAAUCAACAUUGUGUGCACCAUUGUCUGUCUUUGGUAGUUCGAGUUGCGCUCGGGGUCCCAACACCUCGAGCGCCUACCCUCCUCGCGGCGGGUUGGGCUACCACCAUUUUAUGAAAAAACCUUUUUGUUGUGAUUUGUUUCUGUCUGAACAAAGAGUUAGUCUUUUAUGAUUAAUGAUUUGAAUACAACUUUUGACAACGGAUCUCUUGGCUCUC
rnacentral:misc_RNA from 1 species